UACGUAGGUGGCAAGCGUUAUCCGGAAUUAUUGGGGCGUAAAGCGCGCGCAGGCGGUUUCUUAAGUCUGAUGUGAAAAGCCCUCGGCUCAACUGGGGAAGUGCAUCUGAAACUGAGUGGCUUGAGUAUCGAAGAGGAUCGCGGAAUUCCCAGUGUAGAGGUGAAAAUUCGUAGAUAUUGGGAGGAACACCGGCGGCGAAGGCGGCGAUCUGGUCGAAUACUGACGCUGAGGCGCGAAAGCGUGGGGGAGCAAACAGG
rnacentral:rRNA from 1 species